rnacentral:rRNA from 2 species
UGGGUUAAGUCCCGCAACGAGCGCAACCCUUAUUGUUAGUUGCCAGCAUUAAGUUGGGCACUCUAGCAAGACUGCCGGUGACAAACCGGAGGAAGGUGGGGAUGACGUCAAAUCAUCAUGCCCCUUAUGACCUGGGCUACACACGUGCUACAAUGGACGGUACAACGAGUCGCAAGACCGCGAGGUUUAGCAAAUCUCUUAAAGCCGUUCUCAGUUCGGAUUGUAGGCUGCAACUCGCCUACAUGAAGUCGGAAUCGCUAGUAAUCGCGGAUCAGCAUGCCGCGGUGAAUACGUUCCCGGGCCUUGUACACACCGCCCGUCACACCAUGAGAGUUUGUAACACCCAAAGCCGGUGGGGUAACCUUUUGGAGCCAGCCGUCUAAGGUGGGACAGAUGAUUGGGGUGAAGUCGUAACAAGGUAGCCGUAGGAGAACCUGCGGCUGGAUCACCUCCUUUCUAAGGA